UACGUAGGGUGCAAGCGUUGUCCGGAAUUAUUGGGCGUACAGAGCUCGUAGGCGGUCUGUCGCGUCGGAUGUGAAAAUCCAGGGCUCAACCCUGGACCUGCAUUCGAUACGGGCAGACUAGAGUUCGGCAGGGGAGACUGGAAUUCCUGGUGUAGCGGUGAAAUGCGCAGAUAUCAGGAGGAACACCGGUGGCGAAGGCGGUUCUCUGGGCAUGUCCUGACGCUGAGGAGCGAAAGUGUGGGGAGCGAACAGG
rnacentral:rRNA from 1 species